GACGCAGGCUCCCCGGGCUCGCCCCGCCUUCCCUUCCGUCACGGGGGGGCGCCCCGCCCAGUGCAAGUUGGAGUAACUGGGAGAGGCCGGGGGAGGGAGCGUCUGUCCCGGAGGCGCUCUCCCCGGGCGGGCUACGGGGCGGUCCCGGCGAAGGCGCGCGGUUACCCGAGGCGCUGCUUCCUUCGGCCUCGCAAGCCUAAGUUUGGACCUGGUUGUCACAUAGAAGCCCCGCAUUGCAGGUAGCAUAAAAAAAAUCCAACAUCUCCAGCAGAGGGCAACGGCUUCACACUCUGCUGGCUAGGACAGCGCUGCCCAAUAGGCAUAUACCCAGGAGUGGAACUGCUGAGUCAGACGGUACCUCUGUUGUGGAACAUUUUGAGGAACUACCAGACUGUUUUGUAAAGCUUCACCUCUGUUAUCAUCCUCUGUGUUGCUGAGGUGGGGAGGAAGUGAGAUGACUCACUCACGAUCACCAGGAGGGACCAGGUAUCAGAGACAUCCAUCGAGAAAAGAUGACCAAGAGUCUUUCAGCAGAGUUCUCAUGACCCUGAGAUCAUGAUCUGAGCCAGAGUCCAACACUUAACCGACUGAGCCACCCAGGUGCCUCCAAAGUCUUCACUCUUAAUUGCCAAUGACGGGAACUCGAAUUGAUCUAGGCAGAAGAGAAUUGAAUAAACCAAGAAAAAGGCAGAUAUGGGACCUAGGAGAAUACAGCUCCAUCCUGAAGAAAAGCAUCAAAGGAAAGUUCGGGGAUGAGAGCUGAGUGUGGGAUCCAGAGAACAAUCGUGAGAACCGAAGCAGGAAGAAGCGGUCCUUUGAGGGGGAAGAGGAUCGAUAGAGAUUAUGAUAUGAUGAUAAUUGCAUCUUUUGCAAACUGAAGGCCUGUGGCGACCCUCCCCAAGCAGGUCUAUUGGAGUCAUUUCUCCAACAGCAUUUGCUCCCUCUGUCUCAUUUUGGUAACUCCCACAAUAUUUCUAACCAUUUUCAUUAUAUUUGUUAAGGUGACCUGUGAUCAGUGAUCUUUGAUGUGACUGUUGUGAUUGUUUUGGGGUGCAAACCAUGCCCAUAACAACACUGUGAACUUAAUCAGUAAAUGUCAUGUGUUCUGGUUGCUCCACUAACCAGCCUUUCCCUCAUGUCUCCCCUUCUACUUCAGCCUCCCUGUACCCUGAGGCACAACACUAUUGAAAUUAGGCCAGUUAAUAACCCGACAAUGACCUCUAAGUGUUGAAAGAAAGAGGUGCAUGUCUCUCCAGAUCAAAAGCUAGAAAUGAUUUUUUUUUAAUUUUAAAGAUUUUAUUUAUUUAUUCAUGAGAGACACACACACACAGAGAGGGGCAGGGACACAGGCAGGGGGAGAAGCAGGCUCCACGCAGGGGUCUCCAGGAUCAUGCCCUGGGCUGAAGGCGGCGCUAAACCACUGAGCCACCCAGGCUGCCCUAGAAAUAAUUAUUAAACUUUAGUGCAGAAAUCAUGUCAAAAGCUAAGAUGGGCUGAAAGCUACGCCUCUUGUGUCAAUUUGUGUCAAGUUGUGAAUUAAAAAAAAAAAAAUUACUGAAAGAAACUAAAAGUGCUCUUCC